rnacentral:rRNA from 1 species
UCUUGGGGCUCAACCUCAAACCGGGUCCCGAACUGGCAGCCUCGAGUGCGGUAGGGGUAAGCGGAAUUCCCGGUGUAGCGGUGGAAUGCGCAGAUAUCGGGAAGAACACCGAUGGCGAAGGCAGACCUCUGGGCCGACACUGACGCUGAGGCGCGAAAGCUAGGGGAGCGAAC